UACGGAGGGGCUAGCGUUGCUCGGAAUCACUGGGCGUAAGGGUGCGUAGGCGGGUCUUUUAAGUCAGGGGUGAAAUCCUGGAGCUCAACUCCAGAACUGCCUUUGAUACUGAAGAUCUUGAGUUCGGGAGAGGUGAGUGGAACUGCGAGUGUAGAGGUGAAAUUCGUAGAUAUUCGCAAGAACACCAGUGGCGAAGGCGGCUCACUGGCCCGGUACUGACGCUGAGGUGCGAAAGCGUGGGAGCAAACGG
rnacentral:rRNA from 1 species